rnacentral:rRNA from 1 species
GACGAACGCUGGCGGCGUGCUUAACACAUGCAAGUCGAACGGAAAGGCCCUGCUUUUGUGGGGUGCUCGAGUGGCGAACGGGUGAGUAACACGUGAGUAACCUGCCCUUGACUUUGGGAUAACUUCAGGAAACUGGGGCUAAUACCGGCUAGGAGCUCCUGCUGCAUGGUGGGGGUUGGAAAGUUUCGGCGGUUGGGGAUGGACUCGCGGCUUAUCAGCUUGUUGGUGGGGUAGUGGCUUACCAAGGCUUUGACGGGUAGCCGGCCUGAGAGGGUGACCGGCCACAUUGGGACUGAGAUACGGCCCAGACUCCUACGGGAGGCAGCAGUGGGAAAUAUUGCACAAUGGGCGGAAGCCUGAUGCAGCAACGCCGCGUGCGGGAUGACGGCCUUCGGGUUGUAAACCGCUUUCGCCUGUGACGAAGCGUGAGUGACGGUAAUGGGUGAAGAAGCACCGGCUAACUACGUG